CCGCGAGGUGGAGCAAAUCCCUAAAAGCCAUCCCAGUUCGGAUCGCAGGCUGCAACUCGCCUGCGUGAAGUUGGAAUCGCUAGUAAUCGCGGAUCAGCAUGCCGCGGUGAAUACGUUCCCGGGCCUUGUACACACCGCCCGUCACACCAUGAGAGUCGGGAACACCCGAAGUCCGUAGUCUAACCGCAAGGGGACGCGGCCGAAGGUGGGUUCGAUAAUUGGGGUGAAGUCGUAACAAGGUAAC
rnacentral:rRNA from 1 species